AGAGGUGGCGAGCGUUGUUCGGAUUUAUUGGGCGUAAAGCGAACGCAGGCGGUUUGGUAAGUCAGGGGUGAAAGACCACAGCUUAACUGUGGUAUUGCCUUUGAUACUGCCUUUCUUGAGUACAGUAGGGGGAAGCGGAAUUCCGAGUGUAGAGGUGAAAUUCGUAGAUAUUCGGAGGAACACCGGUGGCGAAGGCGGCUUCCUGGACUGUAACUGACGCUCAUGUUCGAAAGCGUGGGUAGCAAACAGGAUUAGAUACCCUGGUAGUCCACGCCCUAAACGAUGGGCACUAGGUGUGGGAGGUAUCGACCCCUUCCGUGCCGCAGCUAACGCAUUAAGUGCCCCGCCUGGGGAGUACGGCCGCAAGGUUG
rnacentral:rRNA from 1 species